UUUUGUGGGGUGCUCGAGUGGCGAACGGGUGAGUAACACGGGAGUAACCUGCCCUUGACUUUGGGAUAACUUCGGGAAACUGGGGCUAAUACCGGAUAGGAGCUCCUGCUGCAUGGUGGGGGUUGGAAAGUUUCGGCGGUUGGGGAUGGACUCGCGGCUUAUCAGCUUGUUGGUGGGGUAGUGGCUUACCAAGGCUUUGACGGGUAGCCGGCCUGAGAGGGUGACCGGCCACAUUGGGACUGAGAUACGGCCCAG
rnacentral:rRNA from 1 species